UUGCCCAACGGGGCCCUGGAUACCUGCCUCUUAACUUUU
rnacentral:ncRNA from 1 species